UACGAAGGGUGCAAACGUUGCUCGGAAUUAUUGGGCGUAAAGCGCACGUAGGCGGCAUUGCAAGUCGGAUGUGAAAUCUUAUGGCUUAACCAUAAAAGUGCAUCCGAAACUGCAGUGCUUGAGUACUUAAGAGGAUCGCGGAAUUCCCGGUGUAGAGGUGAAAUUCGUAGAUAUCGGGAGGAACACCGAGUGGCGAAGGCGGCGUCUGGGAA
rnacentral:rRNA from 1 species